rnacentral:tRNA from 1 species
GCGGGUAUCGUAUAAUGGUUAUUAUACCACCUUGCCAAGGUAGUGAUAGGGGUUCGAUUCCCCUUACCCGCUCCA